GGAGAGUGUUUGAGGAGGGAUCUGCGGCCCAUCAGCUAGUUGGUGAGGUAACGGCUCACCAAGGCGAAGACGGGUAGGGGGUGUGAGAGCAUGGCCCCCCACAAUGGGACUGAGACACGGCCCAUACUCCUACGGGAGGCAGCAGCGGGGAAUAUUGCGCAAUGGACGGAAGUCAGACGCAGCGACGCCGCGUGGGUGAGGAAGGCCUUCGGGUUGUAAAGCCCUUUUCAGGGGAGCGAGAAAGGACGGUACCCUUGGAAUAAGCGUCGGCUAACUACGUGCCAGCAGCCGCGGUAAGACGUAGGACGCAAGCGUUAUCCGGAUUUACUGGGCGUAAAGCGCCUGUAGGCGGUCAAGUAAGUCGGAUGUGAAAGCCCCGUGCUCAGCGCGGGGAAGCCAUUCGAUACUGCGUGACUAGAGAACGGCAGAGGGAAACGGAAUUUCUGGUGUAGCGGUAAAAUGCGCAGAGAUCAGAAAGAACACCGAUGGCGAAGGCAGUUUCCUAGGCCGCAUCUGACGCUGAGAGGCGAAAGCUAGGGGAGCAAACAGGAUUAGAGACCCUGGUAGUCCUAGCUGUAAACGAUGGAUGCUAGGUGUGGGCCGGAAAGGUCCGUGCCGUAGUUAACGCGAUAAGCAUCCCGCCUGGGGAGUACGGCCGCAAGGCUAAAACUCAAACGAAUUGACGGGGACCCGCACAAGCAGCGGAGCGUGUGGUUUAAUUCGAUGCUACACGCAGAACCUUACCUGGGCUUGACAUGUAGGUGGUAGUGAAGUGAAAGCGGAGCGACCCUUCGGGGAGCCUACACAGGUGCUGCAUGGCUGUCGUCAGCUCGUGCCGUGAGGUGUCGGGUUAAGUCCCGUAACGAGCGCAACCCUUGUCCUUAGUUACAAGUGUCUAAGGAGACUGCCGGUGACAAACCGGAGGAAGGUGGGGAUGACGUCAAGUCAGCAUGGCCCUUAUGUCCAGGGCGACACACACGCUACAAUGGUCGGUACAAUGGGCAGCGCAGCCGCGAGGUGAAGCGAAUCCCAACAAAGCCGAUCCCAGUUCGGAUUGCAGGCUGCAACCCGCCUGCAUGAAGCCGGAGUUGCUAGUAACCGCGCGUCAGCCAUAGUGCGGUGAUACGUUCCCG
rnacentral:rRNA from 1 species